rnacentral:rRNA from 1 species
UACGAAGGGGGCUAGCGUUGCUCGGAAUCACUGGGCGUAAAGCGCACGUAGGCGGAUUGUUAAGUCAGGGGUGAAAUCCUGGAGCUCAACUCCAGAACUGCCUUUGAUACUGGCGAUCUCGAGUCCGGGAGAGGUGAGUGGAACUCCGAGUGUAGAGGUGAAAUUCGUAGAUAUUCGGAAGAACACCAGUGGCGAAGGCGGCUCACUGGCCCGGUACUGACGCUGAGGUGCGAAAGCGUGGGGAGCAACAGGG